CUGCACACUAACACUUUAAUCUUGUGUUCUCUAUAGUUCUGUCAAUAUUAAGAAUGCACGUCGACAUGGGAAACCCUCUCUAUAGACUAGAGAGUAAAAGAUUUAUUGGGUUUUUUUAGCUUUUACACACAAAUGAGUUUAUUAAUAGGAACCAGAAAUGUAUUCAUUUCCCUGGAAAUUCACUAUGGUUACUAUCACUGUGUCCACAAACUCUGUCCUGUUCCUUGAAAUGAGGAGCUCAGUCUUACCUCUUUAGGAGAUAUUUAUGAGGCCAAAAUUGUGUAAAAUGUGUUUUCCUAAUCAUAAAAUAGACAAACUGAAAACAAAAACGCUAAAUAAAUAAUAAACAUUGGUGCUUGAUCAUCUUUUCAUUUGGGAUAUUAGGAUAAAUAGUGUUACUGUCUGGCUGUCAACAUAUGAAAGUGGAGUGGUUUAUAAAGGAUUGUGUCUUUUUUCAUCCAUUUAACGUAGAACAUAAAUAUUUAUUGAUGUUUUAUAAAGUGUCCUGACGAGAGUCAUAAACGUAACUUAACAUCUCACUGACCUUCAAUUAUGUGGCAGUUUGGUCUGUUGCCAAACAUGAGGAUAUCCUUUAGAUUUUACAAGGAAAACUGCAGGUGACACAGAUACACAUUGACAGACGAAUGUGGAGAAGAGGAGGUACAGUGUACUUUUACAGUCAGUGAAAGCUUACAGUCAUUCUUUCGCUGAGGCUGAGGGGGAAAAGGAGGAGGGCAUUACACAAACCCCUCAGUGUGGAAGGCGCUCAGUAUCUCCCAUCAUGGCUAGAUCUGCACUCCUGAUUCUGGCAGCCCUUGUUGGAUCCUGCACUCAGUUUACAGGUAUAGUAUGAGACAUUUUUUUUCAGUUGUACACUGAAUUAUUUGUUGCAGUCACCAACCUUUAAUGUCACCUAACCUUUAAGGUGAUACGGUCAUAAGAAGAAUAACAAUCAUUUAAAAAUAAUUGAAUUGAAUGAACUGAAUAGCCAGUUUUUAUCCUGCUUUUUUAGAAGAUUAGUUGUGGUCAUGCGCACACUGUAGGUUGAUGCAUUGUGCAUGCAUUUUCCAUAGUGUGGAUGAACGUAGGUCUAAUCUAUAAACUACAUUGUGUAUUAGAUAGUGUGAACUUUCUCUAG
rnacentral:lncRNA from 15 species